rnacentral:rRNA from 1 species
ACAGGUGGUGCAUGGUUGUCGUCAGCUCGUGUCGUGAGAUGUUGGGUUAAGUCCCGCAACGAGCGCAACCCUUAAGCUUAGUUGCCAUCAUUAAGUUGGGCACUCUAAGUUGACUGCCGGUGACAAACCGGAGGAAGGUGGGGAUGACGUCAAAUCAUCAUGCCCCUUAUGAUUUGGGCUACACACGUGCUACAAUGGACAAUACAAAGGGCAGCGAAACCGCGAGGUCAAGCAAAUCCCAUAAAGUUGUUCUCAGUUCGGAUUGUAGUCUGCAACUCGACUAUAUGAAGCUGGAAUCGCUAGUAAUCGUAGAUCAGCAUGCUACGGUGAAUACGUUCCCGGGUCUUGUACACACCGCCCGUCACACCACGAGAGUUUGUAACACCCGAAGCCGGUGGAGUAACCAUUUGGAGCUAGCCGUCGAAGGUGGGACAAAUGAUUGGGGUGAAGUCGUAACAAGGUAGCCGUAUCGGAAGGUGCGGCUGGAUCACCUCCUUU